AUGAUGUCUGUGAAACUCAACACAGCUGGAGUACUCCUAAGUAAAGUAAUAAUCACAUUUAGGUCCAGCCUUUUUUGUCACGACACCCCCGCUAGGCUAGAGUUCAUCUCGUUGUCUUCUUACUCGUGCGGUACAGCUUAUUUAUCCUGUUGUUUCUCACUCCACACCCUUGAUAGUCUUGGAAUUACAGAGCUCAUGGUUCCCUUCAUAUGUACAUACACGGAGACGGAGACGGAGACGGAGACGGAGACGAAGCAUGCGCGCGCACGUGCGAGAGAGUCGCCGGAGACGGGGAGUAGAGGAUCCGGCGGCUGGUAG
rnacentral:rRNA from 1 species